AAUUGGAAAUUCUAAUGAACGUGUAUGCCGAGCAGUUACCCAUUUUAACAAAAAAAAGCAAUACCGCCGCGGCAGCGAGAGCGCGAGAGAGAGCUUGGCAGGAAAUAGCUGAACAAGUCAAUGCGUGAGUCAAAUAAAUUAGUAAAAUAAAAUAAAAUAAGAGGAAAGUGUAAUAUCUUCCACUUAUUCAAUAUGUAAAUUGUGUGUGUGUGUGUGUGUGUGUGUGUGUGUGUCUGUGUGUGUGUGUGUGUGUGUGUGUGUGUCAAUUUACGCAACCCCGAGUUGCCCCACGAGGACUUGGCAGCAAAUGAAGUACAAAAAUAUAGUUUAAACAGGUAAACUAAUGUUUAAUUGAAAUCAAAUCAAUUGUGCUGUUUUGCCUGCUCUACCUAAUUUAACAGCUAUGUUCAACAUGUAUUAUAUAUUUGUAUACUAUAUUUAAGCAGUAAAUGUAAGUAGUACAUUUCCCAGCCACCCCAACGCUGCCAAUAUUUAAUAGGAUUUAGAUAUAUUAG
ensembl:lncRNA